UACGUAGGGAGCAAGCGUUGUCCGGAAUCAUUGGGCGUAAAGGGCGCGUAGGUGGCACGAUCCGCGUGCGGUGAAAGCCUGGGGCUCAACCCCGGGUCGGCCGUGCGAACUGCUGGGCUGGAGCACUGUAGAGGCAGGUGGAAUUCCGGGUGUAGCGGUGGAAUGCGUAGAGAUCCGGAAGAACACCGGUGGCGAAGGCGGCCUGCUGGGCAGUAGCUGACGCUGAUGCGCGACAGCGUGGGGAGCAAACAGG
rnacentral:rRNA from 1 species